GCUAGACCUGUAUUCUUUCCAUUCACUUUGGUUGCUAAGUACUUCACAUUUUUUUGUGUAAACUUUUUUUUUCUUUUUUUGAGACAGGGUCUUGCUCUGAGUAGCUGGGAUUACAGGCAUCUACCAUCACGCCUGGCCAAUUUUUGUAUUUUUAGUAGAGACGAAGUUUCACCAUGUUGGCCAGACUGGUCUUGAACUCCUGACCUCAGGUGAUCCACCCUCCUAGGUCUCCCAAAGUGCUGAGAUUACAGGUGUGAGCCACCAUGCGUGGCCUUUUGUGUAAACUUUAGAAAUGACCAUUGUGGGUUGAAUUGCAUUUCCCCAAAAUAUAUGUUGAAUUUCCAACUACUAGGGCCACAGAAUGUGACAAUAUUUGGAAAUGGGGCCAUUCUAGACCUAAGUGGUUAAGAUCAGGUCAUCCUGGAGUAGUGUGGGCUUUUCAUUCAAUAUGACUAUUGUCCUUAUAAAAAGACAAUAUAAAAACUGACACAUGAGGAGAGAACACCAUAUAAUGACGGAGGCAAAAAUUACUGUGUGCAGCUGCAUGUCAAGAAAUUCCAAAGAUUGCCAGCAAAUCACCAGGAGCUAGAGGAAGCAAGAAAGGAUUCACUCCCAUGGGUUUCAGAAGGAGAAGAGCCCUUACUGUUUGAUGUAGAAGCUGAUUUUUUGGAGUAAAGUCCUUUUCCUACGUAUCUCUCCCUCUACUUAAAGACUUAGUGUGAAUGUCAAUUACUCAAGCCUGAAUUAAAAGAGUUGACACAGGACAGGAAAACUCCAGUCAUCCUCAAGGGAAAAGAGGUCCUGAAAAGAGGAAACAAGGAGAGACCUCACGGAGUCAAAACAGGUGUUCACAGGCAUUGAAUACGGAAAAUGACUCAAGCUGCUUAGGAUGAGACGCAUGGUCAGAAUGGUUCAGCACAAGGGAUAUAUAACACCCUGAGGAUUAAAACAAAGGUAGUGUCUAGAAUGUUGCUGAAUAUGACAAAGAACUUUUAGAUUAGAACUCCAGGAAUGAAGAAGAUGAAGAAAAACAGACCUCAUGAUUAUCAGCUAAGGCCACUCCUAGCUCAAUCAUGUGUAGUCAGUGACUAUACAUACCAUCAGUAAAAUAAAUAAAUAUUAUAUCUAUUUAAUUGUUCUAUAAUCUGCUCAUUCUUCUUAUUCAUGUGGCUUAUCAGAAAAAAAUUGCUAUAAUCUUUAAAAUUCCUAUAAUUAGACGGAUUUCCCAUAUUAUUUAAUUUCCUUUGAGAAAAUAUAUUUAAAUCUAAGCUUUUUGAAUUAGCUAUUGCUUUAAUCAAACUCCCAAGCUAUUGCUUAAAUUGACAAACAUAUAUUAAAGGGAAAAAACAAAAGAGAGAGUGGGAAGGUGGACAUGCCGGGACGCAGGAUCCAUUUUAGCAGCCAAGGAGCAACAUUAGCGAGUGUCAGUGACCAAGAACCCACAUAAGCAAAGAUGAGGGCUCCGACAGAAG
rnacentral:lncRNA from 1 species